AGUACUUUGAAAGAGGAUUCCAACAGUACCAAGUUUUCCAAUUUUGGACUUGUGGAGAGUGAAAUAUGAUUUUUCAAAUAUUGCUUGUUAAAUCUGGAAUUUUCUAACUUAAAGGAAACUAAGGGUUUCAAACCCUCCAUUUUCCUUCAAUAUCAUUUGAUCGUUUUACAUUUGAUUUCAAAGAUGGAAAUCAGAUUUGUCUUGUAUUUUAAAACCCACUUUUGAACCUCGAGUUACACGAACUCUUAGACUCGUCUCUGCGUUAAUUUCUUAGAUUGUACUAGUGUACAAUUUUCCUCGAUAAUUAGAAUGAUUUUGAGUGGUAGUUGAUUAUUGUUUGCUCAGGCACUCGAGGGAAUCUCCCAGAGGAACUCGGAGCGGACACCUAAGACGCUUGUUUAAGAACUACUCGCUUGUUUUGACUAGGUGAGUGUUCCAUAUAGGAAUACGUAAUUGGAAUAAGUCUAUGACAUGCUUAACCCAUGGUCAUUAAGUAUUUACCACACUCAUGCUGUGAGAACCCGUAAAUUCCCUAAUAAUUUUCUAGGGUUUAUUUCCUUUAAUGGCAUGUUUUCUGCAUUUUCUGGUUUAGGAAAAUUCUCCUGAUGCAUUUUAUGAGUAAUUAUAGUUUUUAUAUGAAUUUUCUAGUAUUGGAGAGUUUUCGAAAAAUUAAGGAUAGAUAACGGACGUGGGACCCACUAGUGCGAUAAGUUCGGAAAAAAAUUCUACCAAUAAGUUUAAGUUUCGGAUACUGGUUGAAAUUUAUCGGGUGUUAAGAGAUAAGUAGAGGAUGUCAUUUGGAUUGGUAUGAGGGGGAACAAAGAGAUAGAGAUUCAUUAAUUAGGUGACAAGUGUCACCAUUUGAUUGGAUGGACACUAUUCACUUUUUGACUUUUUUACCAAGUGAUUAAAUAUCUUAAAAUUUCACAAAAAUCACCAUUUCUUCUCUCUCUCAUGGCCGAACCUCUUGCAAGGAAAAGGAAGAAAACUUCUCCAAGUUUCAAGCUUCAAACUAGCUCAAUCUUCCAUUCCAACCGAUUAAACUUAGAAUUGUUCCAUAAAAUCCCUCUAGUUGGUGCUAGUAAGUGAUUUGGUGAAGUUUUUUUUGAAGAGCUAAGGUGGUCUACAUCUCUCCCUCUCUUGUUUACUUGGUAAGUGGUAUAUGAACUCCCUUCUAUACUUAAUGAUGGUUAAUUGGUGCCUAGUGGAAGCUAAAGUGAUGGAUUAUGUGAGUUAUUUCUUGAUUUGUGAUGAAUUGGUGAAGUUUUUAUUUUUUUUGAGGAAUUUUCUGGUUUAAUGUGAUCAUGGUGUUGUGGUUGUUUAUGAUGGUUGGUAAUAAGGGGUAAUGACUUUAGUAGGUGUAAAUGAUUGGUAAUUGCAAGCAAUUUUGGGUUUGGAGGAGAUUUCAGCAAAAUAGGGUUUUAUACCCCAAAUUUCUGUCCGAUUUUGUAUCUUGUGGUUAGAGGCCGAAUUGGCCUUUGCUCAAAACAUGAAAGUUGUAGGUAUUGAUGUGUUUGAGGUGCCUGUAAAAUUUCAGGUCAUUUGUAUGAGUGUAGAGUGAGUUAUGACGGAAUUACUGUAGCUGUUCUGCUUUGGACAGAAUGCGAAAUCUGCACUGGUAAUUGGCCAUUUUGACUGGAAUCGGUUUGGAUUUUGAAGUUGGUGUCUUCUGAUGAAAUGUAGCUGGAUGUCUUAGCUACCAUAUGCCUUUGGAAUUUCGGCAUUUGGACCUAUAUAGACUGAAUUAUAGUAAUUACAGUUUUGUGUGAUUUGCAAACCUGUUUUGGUCAUUCUGGUUUAGUAUCUGGAAUUUUUGACCUAGUUAAGCUAGGAACUGGAUUGAGUGACCUUCUGCAUUGUUGUAGCCCUGUUUCAUAGCUUCGAAACGGGGUCUUACACCCCAUCCGAUAAUCGUAGUGAAAUUGACGCCAUUACCGCAUUAGGAGGUCAAAACUGUUUUUAUUGUUGGAACAAAUGAGUUACAUUUCCUGAUUUUCUGGUUUGCUUUAAUGCUUAUUUAUGCAUAUGAAACCUUAUUGGGGUUGUGGUUGGCAUGGCUAUAUGACUCGUUAUCGAGUCUCUUUUGGGGCUUGCUUUCAUUUCGGUUGUUUCCUAGCUAAUUUCGUACUUGUACUACAUUGAGCCUAGUGAACGGCUUUUGGGAAAUGAGAUGACUUUUGUGUGAAAUGUUGGGACUGAUUUGAGGAUAUAAUGAAGCCUUAAUGGCUGGAAAAGAAAGAAAUUUAGGGGAAGUGCUGCCCAAUUUUCUAGGCCGUUUGGUUUCUUUAAGUUGGAUUGGCCUUUUUGUGGAAAUGAAAGGCUUUUGGGUUGUUUGUGCCUAAGUCUUCAUACUAACUUUUCGUUUUCAAGAAAAUCAUGUUUUUGUACCCUUGCAUUAGUAUGUCUCACUUGUGCAUUCCGUUUAUUCGAUUUUAGAUAUGAAACCUUCAAUUGGUUUAUUUUGAUUAUUUUAGGGUUUCUUGGCGAUUAAGGCCAAUCUGAAGUGAAACUUUUUGAAGUUGAAUUGGUGAGUGUACCACUCCCCUUCAUUGCUGUUUAACUUGAUUUCUGCUCUGUAAUCUGUUAAAUUUGUUUGAGACGAGGGUGUACUUUAUCACACUCGUUCUUUUAUCUGUUCAUAUGCCAAUUUUGAGUGCCUAUCUGAAUCUGCCGUCUGAAUCUGCUAUCUGAAUCUGCUAAUUCUGUAUCUGUAUCUGAAUCUGUUAUCUGUAUCUGCAUCUGUUCGGAUUUCUAUGACCUAUGAGCUCAAUCCUGUGGCUAAGUUAUUCGAGUCGGGCCGGCAAGGGCCUGGACGAUUAGAUAACGAACCACGGUAGUCUGUUCGGGGAUUUUGGGUAUUGAGACCCUUGAUUCCGGGUAUACUCGAGUAUUACCAUUUCUGUUCGGUUGAGGUGAGCGGGCCCGGUAAAGGGGUGUUUGGUGGACGGAAUUUGGGGUAAAGUGGGGUCUACGGACGUUUUGGUUCUAUAUACGUUGACGGAGAGUCAACCAAUUUGGAUCAAGUACUGCGCUGGAAAUUUGGCUCCUGAGAGCCACCCGUAUCCUUUUGAUUUGAAUCAUUGGUUCCUUUGCUUUACAUCUGGCAUGUGUAUCGGAUUUGAAAAAUGUGAAAUGCCAUGAUUUUUCUGCUAUCUGUUUGGUACCUCAUUGAGCGCAAGCUCACCCCGUUCUGUCCCUUUUGUUUUCCUUACAGGAAAAUAAAUACUUUUGGACUGGAUUUGAUAAUCGGUUGCCGACUUGAGCUAAUUGAACAUAUCUUUUGUAUAGCUCAUGUAUUAAAACCCUAAGUGUACUUUUGGGGCGUUUCUCUUUUGAUUUGGCAAACCGUGUAUAUGUAUUAUCUUUUGAAAGCUUUUGUAUGUCAUUUUGAUUUGUAAACGCUAAAGUUCAGAUGUAAAUGUUUGUUAGCUAUUUCGGUUGGGUUCUGAUGGGUCGGUUACUAUUCAUGGCCGGCUCCGGAUUUCAUUUCAUUUUAUCUUGGGUUGUUUUACUAUUUUGAUUUGUUUACGCGAGUUUGUAAGUUCCAGAUUGAAGCGGAUAGCUCUAAUCUGAUCCGUAGUCCUGGCGAGAGCUGGGCAGGCAGUCCGCUAACCCCUUUGGUUCGCCUUAGGGGAAAGUGGGGCUGUUACACAUGCACAUUUGAAUAAUGUAUACUUGAAUUACUCGACAUGAAACACCUGAAGUAGGUAUAUUUGAACUAUUCGAUAUGAAAUGCUUAAAGAGCAUACUUAUGUGAUUACUUGAAAUACUAGAUAUGAAAUGUUUGGAGAGCAUAUUUACAUGAUGUGUUUAAAUGAUUAAUUAUGCUAUGGAAGCAUAAGUCGGUUGGAGUAAAUCUCCUCGACUCUU
rnacentral:lncRNA from 1 species